AUUGAACGCUGGCGGCAGGCCUAACACAUGCAAGUCGAGCGGAUGAAGGGAGAUUGCUCCUGGAUUCAGCGGCGGACGGGUGAGUAAUGCCUAGGAAUCUGCCUGGUAGUGGGGGAUAACGUCCGGAAACGGGCGCUAAUACCGCAUACGUCCUGAGGGAGAAAGUGGGGGAUCUUCGGACCUCAACGUAUCAGAUGACCCUAGGUCGGAUUAGCUAGUUGGUGGGGUAAAGGCCUACCAAGGCGACGAUCCGUAACUGGUCUGAGAGGAUGAUCAGUCACACUGGAACUGAGACACGGUCCAGACUCCUACGGGAGGCAGCAGUGGGGAAUAUUGGACAAUGGGCGAAAGCCUGAUCCAGCCAUGCCGCGUGUGUGAAGAAGGUCUUCGGAUUGUAAAGCACUUUAAGUUGGGAGGAAGGGCAGUAAGUUAAUACCUUGCUGUUUUGACGUUACCAACAGAAUAAGCACCGGCUAACUUCGUG
rnacentral:rRNA from 1 species